rnacentral:lncRNA from 1 species
UUUAUUUUUAGAAUUUAUUUGGUUGAAUGCACCUACCCGGAAUCCCUUCUCCCACUCUCGGUCACUACCUAUAUUUUCCUCAACAACUCUUGUGUACUUCCAGAUUUUUCUUUUCCUCUUCUUUUUUUUUUCUUGUUUUCGUUUCCUGAACCAUUACUUGAUGAAACUCAUCUCAUUAUCUUUGCCAUAUCUCACCAUAUUUAUGCACGGAAUACUCGAACCACCAACACAUACGAGUCCUCUUCUUCAAACACUAACACGCCCAUAUUUAACAUUUAUUUCGAAGAUAAGGACAUACAAAUGUAUGUAUCCCAUUUGUAAAUUCAUAUGAUGCUAUACCUUACUCUGUUUUCCAUAUUUCCAUUCUAAAUCUUCCUAAUGCAUGAAUUAACAUGCACUUUAAACUCAAAUUCGAAUCGAAAAGGGCUGAAAUAAUCUUACACAACAACAAUGUUGGUCUGGUUGUUGUUUCUGUCAUUCGCUCGUCUUUCUCUUUACCUUCCUUACCAUUCGUCGACAACCUCUCUCUCUCCCUUACAACAUGUUUAGAUAAAUUUUAGUAAUGGUUAAUU